rnacentral:rRNA from 1 species
GACGAACGCUGGCGGCGUGCUUAACACAUGCAAGUCGAACGAAGUGGCGAACGGGUGAGUAACGCGUAAUCAACCUGCCCUUAAGAGGGGGACAACAGUUGGAAACGACUGCUAAUACCGAAUACUGAAGGAGGGGAUUGCGUCUGAUUAGCUAGUUGGCGGGGUAACGGCCCACCAGGGCGAUGAUCAGUAGCCUGUCUGAGAGGAUGAACGGCCACAUUGGUACUGAUACACGGCCCAGACUCCUACGGGAGGCAGCAGUGGGGAAUCUUCCGCAAUGGACGAAAGUCUGACGGAGCAACGCCGCGUGAGUGAUGACGGCCUUCGGGUUGUAAAGCUCUGUUAAUCGGGACGCGGUACCGGAAUAGAAAGCCACGGCUAACUACGUGCCAGCAGCCGCGGUAAUAC